rnacentral:rRNA from 1 species
UACGGGGGGGGGCAAGCGUUGUUCGGAAUUACUGGGCGUAAAGGGCUCGUAGGCGGCCAACUAAGUCAGACGUGAAAUCCCUCGGCUUAACCGGGGAACUGCGUCUGAUACUGGAUGGCUUGAAUUCGGGAGAGGGAUGCGGAAUUCCAGGUGUAGCGGUGAAAUGCGUAGAUAUCUGGAGGAACACCGGAGGCGAAAGCGGUCCACUGGGCAACUUCUGACGCUGAGGUGCGAAAGCUAGGGUAGCAAACGGG